rnacentral:rRNA from 2 species
CCAAGGAGUCUAACAUGUGCGCGAGUCUCCGGGUGAUCGAAACCCGUGGGCGCAAUGAAAGUAAAGGCCGUCCUCGGACGGUUGAGGUGAGAAGCGGCGUUCACAUUCGUCGCCGCAUCAUCGACCGACCUUGUCUGCUCUCAGAGAGGUUUGAGUAAGAGCGUAUCUGUUGGGACCCGAAAGAUGGUGAACUAUGCCUGAAUAGGGUGAAGCCAGCGGAAACACUGGUGGAAGCUCGUAGCGAUUCUGACGUGCAAAUCGAUCGUCGAAUUUGGGUAUAGCGGCGAAAGACUAAUCGAACCAUCUA